CGAGUGCAAAUCGGAAGACGGACCCUAAAGGGUCCCGGGGCUUCUCCCGUUUUUAUAUAACGGGAGAAG
rnacentral:tRNA from 1 species